rnacentral:rRNA from 1 species
GACGUAGGGCGCGAGCGUUGUCCGGAUUUAUUGGGCGUAAAGAGCUCGUAGGCGGCUUGUCGCGUCGACCGUGAAACCUCACAGCUCAACUGUGAGCCUGCGGUCGAUACGGGCAGGCUAGAGUUCGGUAGGGGAGACUGGAAUUCCUGGUGUAGCGGUGAAAUGCGCAGAUAUCAGGAGGAACACCGGUGGCGAAGGCGGAUCUCUGGACAGUUCCUGACGCUGAGGCACGAAGGCCAGGGGAGCAAACGGG